ACUGUGGUCAGCUACUCAGCUUGUGUUUGUCUCCGACACCUCCAAAUCAAUCGGUCAAAUGUGUCUUUUCCCCGUCAAAGUCGAUAGCCUUCAGUUUUACCCACAGAAUCAAAUCUUUUACAAUAGUCUUUUAAAUAUUUUCAAGCAGAGGUUUACGUUGAGUGUUUUUCUAAAACUGACUUCAUAUUCAAAUUUGCUGUAAUCCCUUUGAUUAAUGGGACUCAAAGUU
rnacentral:lncRNA from 1 species